rnacentral:rRNA from 1 species
AACGAACGCUGGCGGCAGGCUUAACUCAUGCAAGUCGAACGCAUCCUUCGGGGUGAGUGGCAGACGGGUGAGUAACGCGUGGGAACGUGCCCUUCAGUUCGGGAUAACCCAGGGAAACUUGGGCUAAUACCGGAUACGUGCGAGAGCAGAAAGAUUUAUCGCUGAAGGAUCGGCCCGCGUCUGAUUAGCUAGUUGGUGGGGUAAUGGCCCACCAAGGCGACGAUCAGUAGCUGGUCUGAGAGGAUGAUCAGCCACAUUGGGACUGAGACACGGCCCAAACUCCUACGGGAGGCAGCAGUGGGGAAUAUUGGACAAUGGGCGCAAGCCUGAUCCAGCCAUGCCGCGUGAGUGAUGAAGGCCUUAGGGUUGUAAAGCUCUUUUAGUAGGGAAGAAGCGAAAGUGACGGUACCUGCAGAAAAAGCACCGGCUAGCUACGUGCCAGCCGCCGCGGUAA